rnacentral:rRNA from 1 species
UACAGAGGUCUCAAGCGUUGUUCGGAUUCAUUGGGCGUAAAGGGUGCGUAGGUGGCGCGUUAAGUCAGGUGUGAAAUUUCGGAGCUUAACUCCGAAACUGCAUUUGAUACUGGCGUGCUUGAGGACUGGAGAGGAGACUGGAAUUCAUGGUGUAGCAGUGAAAUGCGUAGAUAUCGUGAGGAAGACCAGUGGCGAAGGCGGAUCUCUGGACAGUUCCUGACGCUGAGGCGCGAAGGCCAGGGGAGCAAACGGG